GCAUGGCGGAGGGGCUACAACGUGACCGCAGUGGGGCAGUUAAGGAGGUCCGUCCACAAUGUUUUAAAGGCUUUUCCCUGUAAGGUGCCAUUGUACAGCUGUGUCUAGUGUUGCAGCCAUGUGCAUGAUCUCCAAAAUGAAGAUGUUGUAUACGGCCAAUUACCACACUCUUCUGAGCCAUCCCGGUUGCUGCUCCACCCCUUCUGCCAAUCCGGGGAGGGCUGCAGGCUAUCACAUGCCUCCUCCGAUACAUGUGGAGUCAUCAGCCACUUCUUUUCACCUGACAGUGAGGAGUUUCACCAGGGGGACAUAGCAUGUGGGAGGAUCACUAUAUUCCCCCCAGCUCACCCCUGAACAGGCAUCCCGACCGACCAGAGGAGGCGCUAGUGCAGCGACCAGGACACAUCCACAUCCGGCUUCCCACCCGCAGACACGGCCAAAUGUGUCUGUAGGGACGUCCAACCAAGCCGGAGGUAACACGGGGAUUCAAACCGGUGAUCCUCAUGUUGGCAGGCAACGGAGUAGACCACUACGCUACCCGGAUGCCCCUACAUUGAGCUUUUCUAAUGAACACUUCAACAAGGCUCCACCUUGUCGUCCAUCACCGCUGACGAAAGAGAGGAUGAUGUUUUCCUCGUCAUAGUAUUGCAUGGAUGUAGGCAUUCAGCUACUUAGUACAAAUGCAGGUAAGCUGUUAGCUUCUCCUCUCAGAAGAGCAGAAUACAGUGUAGUCAUGUCUGUAUAAGGUCCUGCGUUGUAGGUAUAAUUCAACUGUAUAGAUGAAUGCACAAAUGCAUGGUUGCAUAACCGUGUGAUUAAUUUUGACCUAUAAUUUGUUCCUAUUUUUACUCUGCUGAGUUGGUGAAAUUGCAGUCUAGACCUGGCUGUUUUCAAAAAUCUGUGGAAUGUUAUAUAAAAGGUAUUGUGAUCAUGGAGUUCAGCACAGCGUUUGUCCCUUUUUCACCAUGGGAAACUUGGUCAUUUACUCGGGUACAGUAUUAUAGUAGUCUGCUGAACACACAGAUGUCAAAAUGCUGCCAGUGACCAUACCCCGUGAAAGGUAAUGCUUAUUGAUGAUCUAAGUCCUGUGUAUAUUCUUGUACACACUGGAGACAUCUAGUUGUAAAAGCCUGUUGAAAAAGGUGGAAAUAUUGUAAAUCUCUUUCCAUUUGAUGUUAGUCUUCUGGACAAGUUGUUUUAUGAAGAUCAGGUCAUUUUCAAACAAAUUUUUUCGAAAUAUAGUUUACAUCUGUUUUUCUUUGAAAAGACAGUUUUGUUAUAAAUGUGUUAUAUUUUUGUAUACAUAGAAUACAUACAACCUACUAAAUAAAGCAAACUGUUCAAGACUUCUCAUGGUGCUCUUGUGAGUUUUCCCUAGCCAACAUUUUAGG